UCGCAAAAAUCCUAUAACAGCAAGAUCUAUUGUAGAAAAAAGAGAUUCGCCAACUUUUAACCUUGAAAAAACACUAGCCAAGUGAUGCUUCUCCAUUUUAGGCCAGAUGAACACUCUAUCAACGCAUGUACUGAGGCAUUGAGCAGGAUCCAAGAUACAGAAUGGCAUGAUAAUAACUUUGUUGCUAUUUACGACUUUGAAAGUUUAUAUCCUUCACUGGCCAUAGAACCAAUAUGCCUCACCUUUUAUAGAUUCCUGCUAUGUAACAUAUUUCAAGCCCAUAGCAUGACGGCUAUACUUAGAGAUCUUGCUGAUAUAAUCUGCCAUAGAUCUUUCUUCACUUACAAAGGCAAGUAUUACAAGCAAACC
rnacentral:lncRNA from 1 species